UACGCCACUUUUCUAGGUGCUUUUCAAAGUGAUCUUACAAUGAGUGCUAUGUACCCUACUCUAUCAACUAAAAACCCGGACGUGAGUGAAAAGUUACAACUGAAUCAACUCACAUCCAAAAUUGGAGAAAAGAGAUGGGUAGUAUCGACAGAAUUGUGACUUGUCAAGUAUCAUGACGAAAUUUGGCUGCGCGUUGGAGUCAAUUUCCUGCGAAGGCCCGGCCAACACAGACCUAAAUCUUAAUCGUGAAAUGCAAUUAUUUUUUAGUGUUUAGCUAUGUUUUAACUUAAACUUUUCCGUGCUUUUCUAAGAGCUCUUAUAAAUAACUUUUUCCAAUUGUAGUUAUACUCCUUUUUCUCUGUAGACAGUGUUCUAUAAAGAAUGCCAGUCUUCUGUUAGACUACCCAAUUGGUAUUUCCAGCGAAAUUCAUAUUCCAAUAUGAAUUUCAUACUCCAAUAUGAAUUUCCUACCACCUGUCAAUGGACUGCACUCAAGUUCACCAUUCAAUAACGACUCUAAGUUUUCCUUAAGAUUUACACUUAAAGUGUCUAGGAAGACGUUCAAAAAUAUUGAGACUAAUCACGGUUGAGCGCCGCCGGGAACUAUCACCUAGGCCAUGCCCGUGCCUGAAAGAAAAAGUCAGGACGUUGAUUCGAACGGAUUCGAAUGCAACGAGCACUAAGUACGGUCACAUUAUUGGAGGAAUGACCGUGUGCUUGGUUCGUGAUUUGGAGUCACAAGUGAUAGCUGCAAGCUGAUGUCACUCGAACCACUGCACCAACCCGACUAAGCAUGAUCGAAAAAAGCUACAGCUCAUUAUGGCGUCAGUUUAGCUUUAAUGCUAAAUUUCGCAAACACGGUGAACUAGAUUGACAAUAAUAAAAAAUGAACUUUAUUCGUCACUUGCUGUGUUACUUAUUAUUAAGAAUCUCAAUUGUGCUAAACAAAUUUUGACACGCAAAAAAUGCUACAAUAGAAACGGAAACGGUUGCACUCACGGAUCGUGACUGGAACAUGUAUACCAAUCCCGCCAUAAGACCUAGAAGUUACUCUUCGGUUGCCACCAGGUGGCAUAUGAGUAGCAUAUUUCUAUGAAAUCUUUUGAUGGCUGUCUGCUGUCUGCUUAACUGGGCAUUGAUGGCAGGUUAAUUUUUAAAAAGUUUGUACUUCAAAUAUAGGAACUAUCUUGCUUUCGGCGGAUUAUUCUCAGUUGGAACUUCGAAUAUUGGCGCAUUUGAGCGAAGACGCAGGUCUUUGUUCUGUUCUUAGCCAACCCGAUGGCGAUGUUUUCCGCGGCAUUGUAUCGGUUUGGAAAAAGAAAAAGCAAGAAGAAGUCAGAGACGAUGAAAGGCAAAAAGCGAAACAAAUCUGCUACGGGAUUGUUUACGGCAUGGGAUGUAAAUGUUUAGCCGAACAGUUGGAAGUCGGGGAAGAAGAGGCUCAACUCUUUGUUAACACUUUCCACGCAACGUAUCCUAGUAUACAAAGCUUUAUAACAAACACAGUUAACCAGUGCCGCACGAAUGGAUUUGAUGAUGUUGAUGCCUAAUUUUCUUGACAGGUCAACCGAUGUGGAAAAAAAUUCAGGAGGAAAAUGAAUUGAGCUGCUGACAUUGGCCUAUUCUGGAAUACAUCAGUUUGCAUCAUAAUCAGAAAGGACAAGAGAAGGAAAACGCUGGAACUGUGUGCUACAAUCAUGAUUCUUCUUAUAUUCUCCUCCGCUGGAAAACGAUACUUUAUUGUGUCAUGACCAAGAUGCUUAACAGGCGUCGGAAAAAAAAAAAAAGAGGUUUGUCUUCCAACAAAUGAAUACAGACUUACUUGACUCCCAAUUACAACUCGAAAGGUCAAGCGUUGGAAUGGGAUUGGCACCCCAUUGCAAUGCAAGACUGAAUAGAGAGGUAAGAGCCCUCAGCUGAUGUCACGAUGUGGAUCAUAUAGUACAGCAAUAUGAUCUCCGUCCGGGCAGGUCUGGAGGUUACUCGAUAGCAAGUCAAUCAAGUGCUUAGCGCAACCCUUUUUUUCUUUUUUUUCUUUUUUUUUCUUUUUCAAUAACUAAAAUCCAAACUGGCUAACCAAAACUUCUAACAUCUAGUCAGAAUAUUUGAGCAUUUCCUUUUAAUGGAAUUUCAGAUUGAAAUUAGGAAAUUAACAUUAGUGAUGGAAAUGCAAACUAAAAAUUUUACGCUACAUCCUGCUACGCAAUUAAAAACGGUAAAGAUAAGUGGAUUUCAACCUUGCCCAAUUCAAUGUUAAUUGGCAAAUGCAAUCAAUUGAAGCAAUGUUCUAUGCUAAACAACUAAAUAGCUAUAUAAAUUAUACCAGACUGAUGAAUACCAAUGAUGUAAAUCUCACUAAUGUUCUAGUGUAUAAAUGCGUUCAGCAAUUACAAUGUUGUAGGGAAACAAA